rnacentral:tRNA from 1 species
ACUAUAAUAGUUUAAUUAAAACAUAGGUUUUGUAAUCCUAAAUUGAAUUUCUUAUAGUA